GACAGGUGGUGCAUGGUUGUCGUCAGCUCGUGUCGUGAGAUGUUGGGUUAAGUCCCGCAACGAGCGCAACCCUUAAGCUUAGUUGCCAUCAUUAAGUUGGGCACUCUAAGUUGACUGCCGGUGACAAACCGGAGGAAGGUGGGGAUGACGUCAAAUCAUCAUGCCCCUUAUGAUUUGGGCUACACACGUGCUACAAUGGACAAUACAAAGGGCAGCGAAACCGCGAGGUCAAGCAAAUCCCAUAAAGUUGUUCUCAGUUCGGAUUGUAGUCUGCAACUCGACUACAUGAAGCUGGAAUCGCUAGUAAUCGUAGAUCAGCAUGCUACGGUGAAUACGUUCCCGGGUCUUGUACACACCGCCCGUCACACCACGAGAGUUUGUAACACCCGAAGCCGGUGGAGUAACCUUUUAGGAGCUAGCCGUCGAAGGUGGGACAAAUGAUUGGGGUGAAGUCGUAACAAGGUAGCCGUAUCGGAAGGUGCGGCUGGAUCACCUCCUUU
rnacentral:rRNA from 3 species